rnacentral:rRNA from 1 species
GACGAACGCUGGCGGCGUGCUUAACACAUGCAAGUCGAGCGGAAAGGCCCUUUCGGGGGUACUCGAGCGGCGAACGGGUGAGUAACACGUGAGUAAUCUGCCCCUGGCUUUGGGAUAGCCACCGGAAACGGUGAUUAAUACCGGAUACGACCACUUCUCGCAUGGGAUGGUGGUGGAAAGUUUUUCGGCCAGGGAUGUGCUCGCGGCCUAUCAGCUUGUUGGUGAGGUAAUGGCUCACCAAGACUAUGACGGGUAGCUGGAUCGAGAGGUCGACCAGCCAGACUGGGACUGAGACACGGCCCAGACUCCUACGGGAGGCAGCAGUGAGGAAUUUUCCGCAAUGGGCGAAAGCCUGACGGAGCGACACCGCGUGGAGGAUGAAGCUUUUCGGAGUGUAAACUUCUUUUAUAUGUGAAGAUUAUGACGGUAACAUAUGAAUAAGCACCGGCUAACUACGUGCCAGCAGCCGCGGUAA